rnacentral:rRNA from 1 species
GAUGAACGCUGGCGGCGUGCCUAAUACAUGCAAGUCGAGCGAACGGACGAGAAUCUUGCUUCUCUGAUGUUAGCGGCGGACGGGUGAGUAACACGUGUAUCACCUACCUAUCAUACUGGGAUAACUUCGGGAAUCCGGAGCUAAUACCGUAUAAUCUUUUGAACCGCAUGGUUCAAAAGUAAAAGACGGUCUUUCUGUCACUUAUCGCUGGUUCCGCGCUGCUUUAGCUAGUUGGUAAGGUAACGGCUUACCAAGGCAACGAUGCAUAGCCGACCUGAGAGGGUGAUCGGCCACACUGGAACUGAGACACGGUCAAGACUCCUACGGGAGGCAGCAGUAGGGAAUCUUCCGCAAUGGGCGAAAGCAUGACGGAGCAACGCCGCGUGAGUGAUGAAGGUCUUCGGAUCGUAAAACUCUGUUAUUAGGGAAGAACAUAUGUGUAAGUAACUGUGCACAUCUUGACGGUACCGAAUCAGAAAGCCACGGCUAACUACGUG